rnacentral:rRNA from 1 species
AUUGAACGCUGGCGGCAUGCUUUACACAUGCAAGUCGAACGGUAACAGGGAGCUUGCUCCGCUGACGAGUGGCGAACGGGUGAGUAAUGCAUCGGAACGUACCCAGUCGUGGGGGAUAACGUAGCGAAAGUUACGCUAAUACCGCAUACGUCCUGAGGGAGAAAGCGGGGGACCGAAAGGCCUCGCGCGAUUGGAGCGGCCGAUGUCGGAUUAGCUAGUUGGUAGGGUAAAGGCCUACCAAGGCGACGAUCCGUAGCGGGUCUGAGAGGAUGAUCCGCCACACUGGGACUGAGACACGGCCCAGACUCCUACGGGAGGCAGCAGUGGGGAAUAUUGGACAAUGGGCGCAAGCCUGAUCCAGCCAUGCCGCGUGGGUGAAGAAGGCCUUCGGGUUGUAAAGCCCUUUUGUCCGGAAAGAAAAGCACUGGAUUAAUACUUCGGUGUUCUGACGGUACCGGAAGAAUAAGCACCGGCUAACUUCGUG